UCUUAUGUCUUAUGUCUUAUGCAACCAUAGGUUGUAUUUAGGAACUCGUCGCGGCGCAAACAAAAACAUUCUGUUUCGCCCACACGUGCGCGUGGCCACGGGAAACGUGUUUUUUAGUUGGGAAAAACAUGGCCGUCCUGAUUACAUGAUAACAACAGCAUAUAUUCAAAUAGUUUGUCAGAAUAACAGUAUUAUAAAAACUUCUACAAAACACGAUAAGAAUAUUUUUAAUCAUUGUAUAAGAUAAACAUACUACACGCUUCAUUGCAAAUAUACGCAUUAAGCAAUAAAACGUAACGAUCGUAUGAUACUUUAGAUGAGAAUCACGCUGAAGAACAAUACUAAUUUUUGAUAUUUCGUUUCUAUGAAAAUAUACACAGAACGAUAUAGUAUUUUGAAGAGUGAAGAUAGAUUUGGCAAUGAUACACGCAUGGCACCUGUCACUAUGUAGUAUGGUUGUGAAUCGAACGAGGAAAAACAUCGUCGUCAAUGUACGUAAACUUUUUAAAACAGUCUUCAACAAUUUUG